rnacentral:rRNA from 1 species
GAUGAACGCUGGCGGCGUGCUUAACACAUGCAAGUCGAACGAUGAAGCCCAGCUUGCUGGGUGGAUUAGUGGCGAACGGGUGAGUAACACGUGAGUAACCUGCCCUUAACUCUGGGAUAAGCCUGGGAAACUGGGUCUAAUACCGGAUAGGAGCGUCCACCGCAUGGUGGGUGUUGGAAAGAUUUAUCGGUUUUGGAUGGACUCGCGGCCUAUCAGCUUGUUGGUGAGGUAAUGGCUCACCAAGGCGACGAUGGGUAGCCGGCCUGAGAGGGUGACCGGCCACACUGGGACUGAGACACGGCCCAGACUCCUACGGGAGGCAGCAGUGGGGAAUAUUGCACAAUGGGCGAAAGCCUGAUGCAGCGACGCCGCGUGAGGGAUGACGGCCUUCGGGUUGUAAACCUCUUUCAGUAGGGAAGAAGCGAAAGUGACGGUACCUGCAGAAGAAGCACCGGCUAACUACGUG